UGACUAACCCUCCCCCCUUCUGGGAUGGGGGCACCCACACCAGCACACAAGAUCUUUAUGGAUUCCCCCGGGCCAUUAUUUGUACUGUGAGCUGCACUGUGCGCCCGACCGUGAAAGUUGCGUGCAAAAGUGACAUUCUUAGGCAGUGACCGCCUUAGACGCCUAUUGAAGCUCUCCACUUUCUGUGUAUUGGUAUUAAGAAUGGAUUUGUCUAGCACUGACGGGGCAAGCCGCCUAUUGACACAGGCCUGGAGAAUCCUUGCAUUGGCCCUGGAGUAUGGAAUUUUGAAGUUUCCAUCAAGUGAAGACUCGGCUGGAGGUGGAGUGUUGGUGGCCAUAAAAAUUUUGCGCAGAGAUGAACUGCCAAUGGGGGUUUGACUUAGACCUACUUGUAGGCCAUAGUUUAUUGUUGCUGCUUUCCUUCCCCUGGAAUUGGACUGCACUUCCACAUAGAGCUUGUGCAUUUCUGAAGUGUAAGGGCACCUGCUGCAUUUCAGCCGUAGUCGAGUACCCAGGCCACGCCUCUCCUCAGAGUCCAUGUCCCAGGUCAGGUUGCCGUCACAUCCAGGGUUGGUCCUCCCAUGUUCUUUGAAGGCUGUAUUGAACAGCCCACUUGUCUUUUGAAGAUGGAGCAGUCUGUGGGAGUCUGAAUCACACCUACCGAAACCAGUUUUGUAUCUGAUCACUUCCUAUCCAGGGGUCUUGGCCGCAGCAACCGGUGGCACCCAGGUCGCAGCAUCAUUUCCUGUUCCUCACUCACUGAGGGUGGAUGUCUCACCAGUUCCAGGGUUUCCCGGUCUACUCUUGUGAAUGGUGCAGGAAAAACACCAGAAUUGCCUAGGUACAGGGGGCCGCCAUCUUGGACACCCAAAGUUGUGCGGAGAAGAAAAGCUGACAGGAGUCCUGAUUGGUCAUUAAGAGAAAAUCUUUGUGGUGGAAUUUGACAGUUAAAUAUAAGUGAUAAAAAUUAUAUGUGAUAUAACAGAAUGUGUGAAAAGAUAUAGGACUUGUAAAGGAAGACUUGAGAUGAGGGGUGAUAUUUUGCUGGACAGUUUCAUUCAGUGCGGAUCUAUACCAGUUGUAAACAGGCCAAAAUUUAAAGGAAAAACGCAACGGCACGAUAUAUUUUUCGUGGUGGAAUUUUGAAGAAGAGGUGUUGAACUUUCUUUCACAGUGACUGAUUUUUUGAAUAUUGAUUAUAUAAAUAAGUGACAGUGAUUGGAAUUUGUAUGGAAGUCUAUGGGAAAACAUUUGGUGGUGUUUGUCCACAUGAGAUGUUGAAUGAAAAGUAGUAUUUAAAUUGUAUAAUUUUAUUUGUUUGAAAGUUUUAAUAAUGGAACUAUGUUGCACGAGACAUUUUCCGUUUACUGUAAACGAAAUCUGUUCUUAGUAGAACGAAUUUUUAGAGUAAAUUGGUUAAACGGAUUUUAUCAGGGUAUAAAUAAGACGAAUCCGUUAAUUUUCAGUGAGUCUGCAACUUUUGGGUUUUAGAGAAACAAGUGGGGUUAGCAUAAUUUUUAAGAUGUAAGUUUAUUUAUUCAUUUGGAAUUUUACUGGGUAAAAACUAAUUGAAAUUGCUAGGAAAUAU